rnacentral:rRNA from 1 species
AACGCUAGCUACAGGCUUAACACAUGCAAGUCGAGGGGAAACGACAUCGAAAGCUUGCUUUUGGUGGGCGUCGACUGGCGCACGGGUGAGUAACGCGUAUCCAACCUGCCCACCACUUGGGGAUAACCUUGCGAAAGUAAGACUAAUACCCAAUGAUAUCCCACGAAGGCAUCCGAAUGGGAUUAAAGAUUUAUCGGUGAUGGAUGGGGAUGCGUCUGAUUAGCUUGUUGGCGGGGUAACGGCCCACCAAGGCAACGAUCAGUAGGGGUUCUGAGAGGAAGGUCCCCCACAUUGGAACUGAGACACGGUCCAAACUCCUACGGGAGGCAGCAGUGAGGAAUAUUGGUCAAUGGGCGAGAGCCUGAACCAGCCAAGUAGCGUGCAGGACGACGGCCCUAUGGGUUGUAAACUGCUUUUAUAAGGGAAUAAAGUGAGUCUCGUGAGACUUUUUGCAUGUACCUUAUGAAUAAGGACCGGCUAAUUCCGUGCCAGCAGCCGCGGUAAUACGGAAGGUCCGGGCGUUAUCCGGAUUUAUUGGGUUUAAAGGGAGCGUAGGCCGGAGAUUAAGCGUGUCGUGAAAUGUAGGCGCUCAACGUCUGCACUGCAGCGCGAACUGGUUUCCUUGAGUACGCACAAAGUGGGCGGAAUUCGUGGUGUAGCGGUGAAAUGCAUA